GUACCUGCUAUCACUCUUUUGGAUAUAAGGCACGCGUACAGAAAGCAACAGAGGAUUGGCAACUAGGAUUGAAGAGAACACUUCUUUGGCUACAUUUUUCGCAUACUUUUUGAUAGAUUCUAAGUUAGGAUAAUGGAGAUAUUGGAGGUUGAAAUCAGCACUUGCAAAUCUUAAGGUAGUAAGUGAUCCGAUUCACUAG
rnacentral:lncRNA from 1 species